UACGGAGGAUGCGAGCGUUAUCCGGAUUUAUUGGGUUUAAAGGGUGCGUAGGCGGACUGUCAAGUCAGCGGUAAAAUUGAGAGGCUCAACCUCUUCCCGCCGUUGAAACUGGUGGUCUUGAGUGGAUGAGAAGUACGCGGAAUGCGUGGUGUAGCGGUGAAAUGCAUAGAUAUCACGCAGAACUCCGAUUGCGAAGGCAGCCUGCUGGACUGUAACUGACGCUGAGGCUCGAAAGUGUGGGUAUCAAACAGG
rnacentral:rRNA from 1 species